rnacentral:rRNA from 1 species
GAUGAACGCUGGCGGCGUGCCUAAUACAUGCAAGUCGAGCGAACGGACGAGAAGCUUGCUUCUCUGAUGUUAGCGGCGGACGGGUGAGUAACACGUGGAUAACCUACCUAUAAGACUGGGAUAACUUCGGGAAACCGGAGCUAAUACCGGAUAAUAUUUUGAACCGCAUGGUUCAAAAGUGAAAGACGGUCUUGCUGUCACUUAUAGAUGGAUCCGCGCUGCAUUAGCUAGUUGGUAAGGUAACGGCUUACCAAGGCAACGAUGCAUAGCCGACCUGAGAGGGUGAUCGGCCACACUGGAACUGAGACACGGUCCAGACUCCUACGGGAGGCAGCAGUAGGGAAUCUUCCGCAAUGGGCGAAAGCCUGACGGAGCAACGCCGCGUGAGUGAUGAAGGUCUUCGGAUCGUAAAACUCUGUUAUUAGGGAAGAACAUAUGUGUAAGUAACUGUGCACAUCUUGACGGUACCUAAUCAGAAAGCCACGGCUAACUACGUGCCAGCAGCCGCGGUAAUACGUAGGUGGCAAGCGUUAUCCGGAAUUAUUGGGCGUAAAGCGCGCGUAGGCGGUUUUUUAAGUCUGAUGUGAAAGCCCACGGCUCAACCGUGGAGGGUCAUUGGAAACUGGAAAACUUGAGUGCAGAAGAGGAAAGUGGAAUUCCAUGUGUAGCGGUGGAAUGCGCAGAGAUAUGGAGGAACACCAGUGGCGAAGGCGACUUUCUGGUCUGUAACUGACGCUGAUGUGCGAAAGCGUGGGGAUCAAACAGGAUUAGAUACCCUGGUAGUCCACGCCGUAAACGAUGAGUGCUAAGUGUUAGGGGGUUUCCGCCCCUUAGUGCUGCAGCUAACGCAUUAAGCACUCCGCCUGGGGAGUACGACCGCAAGGUUGAAACUCAAAGGAAUUGACGGGGACCCGCACAAGCGGUGGAGCAUGUGGUUUAAUUCGAAGCAACGCGAAGAACCUUAUCAAAUCUUGACAUCCUCUGACCCCUCUAGAGAUAGAGUUUUCCCCUUCGGGGGACAGAGUGACAGGUGGUGCGUGGUUGUCGUCAGCUCGUGUCGUGAGAUGUUGGGUUAAGUCCCGCAACGAGCGCAACCCUUAAGCUUAGUUGCCAUCAUUAAGUUGGGCACUCUAAGUUGACUGCCGGUGACAAACCGGAGGAAGGUGGGGAUGACGUCAAAUCAUCAUGCCCCUUAUGAUUUGGGCUACACACGUGCUACAAUGGACAAUACAAAGGGCAGCGAAACCGCGAGGUCAAGCAAAUCCCAUAAAGUUGUUCUCAGUUCGGAUUGUAGUCUGCAACUCGACUACAUGAAGCUGGAAUCGCUAGUAAUCGUAGAUCAGCAUGCUACGGUGAAUACGUUCCCGGGUCU